rnacentral:rRNA from 2 species
GCCCAGUACGGCGAGUGAAGCGGCAACAGCUCAAAUUUGAAAUCUGGCCCUUGGGUCCGAGUUGUAAUUUGUAGAGGAUGCUUUUGGCGAGGUGCCUUCCGAGUUCCCUGGAACGGGACGCCAUAGAGGGUGAGAGCCCCGUCUGGUCGGACACCGAGCCUCUGUAAAGCUCCUUCGACGAGUCGAGUAGUUUGGGAAUGCUGCUCAAAAUGGGAGGUAUAUGUCUUCUAAAGCUAAAUAUUGGCCAGAGACCGAUAGCGCACAAGUAGAGUGAUCGAAAGAUGAAAAGCACUUUGAAAAGAGGGUUAAAAAGUACGUGAAAUUGUUGAAAGGGAAGCGCCUAUGACCAGACUUGGGCCCGGUGAAUCAUCCAGCGUUCUCGCUGGUGCACUUUGCCGGGCACAGGCCAGCAUCAGUUUGGCGCGGGGGAAAAAGGUUUUGGGAAUGUGGCUCCCUCGGGAGUGUUAUAGCCCAUUGCGUAAUACCCUGCGCCGGACUGAGGUACGCGCAUUGCAAGGAUGCUGGCGUAAUGGUCAUCAGCGACCCGUCUUGAAACAACGGACAC